UAAGGAAUAUUGGUCAAUGGACGCAAGUCUGAACCAGCCAUGCCGCGUGAAGGAUGACGGCCCUAUGGGUUGUAAACUUCUUUUGUACGGGAAAAAAUCCCUGGUCGUGAACCGGGGUUGAUGGUACCGUAAGAAUAAGCAUCGGCUACCUCCGUGCCAGCAGCCGCGGUAAUACGGAGGAUGCAAGCGUUAUCCGGAUUCAUUGGGUUUAAAGGGUGCGCAGGCGGCGUGGUAAGUUGAGUGUGAAAUCCCGGGGCUUAACCUCGGAACUGCACUCAAUACUGCCAUGCUAGAGGAAUGUAGAGGAGAGUGGAAUUCACGGUGUAGCAGUGAAAUGCGUAGAUAUCGGGAGGAACACCAGUGGCGAAGGCGAUUUCCUGGCCUGAUACUGACGCUGAGGCGCGAAAGCGUGGGGAGCAAACAGG
rnacentral:rRNA from 1 species